AAUUUGUACAGAUUUUGUCUCCCUAAGUCUUAGCAGUGUUCUGGUCCACUUAUUGAAGCUGUCAAGGAAAACAACAUUCACAGAUGUUAGAAAAUACAGUCCCAAGCACCAAUCUCACACAGCAGUUCAGCAUCAGAAAUAAAUGCCCUGGCACCCACAUGCUGACUCAUGGCCAGGCUGGUCUUCUCUGCAAAUUUCUUUAAUGUAAAUUCCAUCCUCAUUAACAAUUUCAAUAGACAUAUGAGAAUAAAAUCAGAUGUGUUAAAAAAAGCACAUCCAUUGGACAAUUCAAUGAGCACGGAAAUCUCCUUGUCAGAACAAAGCAUAUACUGGAAAUCAAAUAGGUGUUUUGCCUGCAGGAAAAAAAAUACAGGACUUGUGAUCCAACUGCUGUGAAGUCACAGAUUUGUAACCUGGUUUGAAACUGGUCUGUCACAAAAUGUAGAAUAACCAAAGAAAUCAUUAAGGAAGUUCUCUGGCAUUUUCUAGCUGGCAAAGAAUAGACAACGGAGCAAAGUUUCAGCACAGGGUUAGAUCCAGCCUUGCCCAGAAGCUGUCUCACCCACAGAUCAAUAUGUACAUGACUUGGAACGAGCAGAGUUCCUAAUGGCACAGAGCUGAGAUGCAGAGGAGACCUUGCUCUGAUUCCAGGCAUCCAUGAGAAGUAUUUCUCACGUCCUGUCGUACAUCCUGCUUGUUCCUAUUCCCCACAGCCCAGAAGAGGACAGAGUUGUGUCUGUGGGACCUGCUGAUGUUGGUGCACAGCCUGGCUGGGACACAAGCAUUCCCAGGGGGAUGCUCAGGGACCCUUGCAGUGAGAAAGCUCAGCCUCAGCCCUGUCUGUUCACAUCAGAAAACCAUUUCAGAAGACUCCACAUUUCUGUUCUGACCCAGGGACUCUUUGAUAGAAGUGAGCAGACCGUAAGAUAGAAGUGAGCACACUGUAAGAUGGAAAUGAAAAAUACUGCAGGCAGCUGGAAGAAAAACCAAAUCAAAAGGCUUUUAGAAAGUGGUUGGCCAUAUGAAAUCUCAGGCCACAUGGAAGGAACUGCAAGCACUCUUGUUCUGGAAAGCUACAGGAAAACUACUUGUUAAGGAACCAGAGGACAGCAUCUUUAGCUAACCACAAUUGUAGAACAGUCAUUGAUUUAGGUUCUGCACAGGAGCAACUGUGGCUGCUUGCUGUUUAUCAUCCUGCAAGGAACUGAUGUCUGUUGCCCUGAGCUACAAAAAAAGGCCAAUGAGAAUUAACUUGAGAUCAAAAGAAGAAGAGCCAAGCGAUAUAAGCCUUCAUCAAAGGAGUAAUUGGGUGCUCAGAGUGAGUUAAGUUUCUGCUCACUCACCAGUGUUGCAGUGGACGGAUCUGCCCAAGUACCCAGCCCUGGAGCGACCAGCUCAGGGGCUUCCUACCUACCCCCCUUCUCCUUUCUUCACUUCUCCCCAGUCAGAAACAAUACAACCCUUGUGGUGUCUACACUGCUCUCUGUGGCUCGACUCGAGGCUCCUUAUCAGUGGGAAUAAUUAGUGUGAGCACUAAAAACCUCUCAGUGAAUAUAAAGGGUCAACCCCACAUCCUGUAGCACAGAGCAGAAGCUCAUUAUCUUGCAUGAAUUCUCCAUAAAUUGUGGAAGCAUAUGCAGCAUAUGGCCUUGUUCUGCUUUUCUCCCCAAACAGAGAGCAAAAAAUGUAUAUUUUUGUGGAUAAUUUUCUCAUAUAAAUUUGAUUGGA